GACGAACGCUGGCGGCGUGCUUAACACAUGCAAGUCGAACGAUGAAGCCCUUUCGGGGGUGGAUUAGUGGCGAACGGGUGAGUAACACGUGGGUAACCUGCCCUGUACCCUGGGAUAAGCCUUGGAAACGAGGUCUAAUACCGGAUAUGACCUGCUCUCGCAGUGGGGGUGGGUGGAAAGUUUUGGCGGUGCAGGAUGGACCCGCGGCCUAUCAGCUUGUUGGUGGGGUGAUGGCCUACCAAGGCGACGACGGGUAGCCGGCCUGAGAGGGCGACCGGCCACACUGGGACUGAGACACGGCCCAGACUCCUACGGGAGGCAGCAGUGGGGAAUAUUGCACAAUGGGCGAAAGCCUGAUGCAGCGACGCCGCGUGA
rnacentral:rRNA from 1 species